rnacentral:rRNA from 1 species
CCUACGGGCGGCUGCAGUGGGGAAUAUUGCACAAUGGGCGCAAGCCUGAUGCAGCCAUGCCGCGUGUGUGAAGAAGGCCUUCGGGUUGUAAAGCACUUUCAGCGGGGAGGAAGGCGGUGAGGUUAAUAACCUCAUCGAUUGACGUUACCCGCUGAAGAAGCACCGGCUAACUCCGUGCCAGCAGCCGCGGUAAUACGGAGGGUGCAAGCGUUAAUCGGGAUUACUGGGCGUAAAGCGCACGCAGGCGGUCUGUCAAGUCGGAUGUGAAAUCCCCGGGCUCAACCUGGGAACUGCAUUCGAAACUGGCAGGCUAGAGUCUUGUAGAGGGGGGUAGAAUUCCAGGUGUAGCGGUGAAAUGCGUAGAGAUCUGGAGGAAUACCGGUGGCGAAGGCGGCCCCCUGGACAAAGACUGACGCUCAGGUGCGAAAGCGUGGGGAGCAAACAGGAUUAGAUACCCCGGUAGUC